rnacentral:sRNA from 1 species
GACAAGGGACAAAAGGUCUGUCACGGCAUGCUUGCAUGCCUAUGACAGACUUUGGGGACCGCAAAAAUAUGAGGAAGCAGCCAUUUUUCGUAGAAAAAUGUGCAGAUUUCGAAUGUUUUUAGAAUUUCGAGAGUGCAAAGCACGGAGAAAUUCGUAGU